CCUAGUUGGCCUCUGAAACCUAGGGUAUUGUCCCAAGUAUCUGUACGUGCUUAAAACCUAAAAAGCUCACUUUAAGGGAAGGUCGCCUCACCAGGUGCGAAUGCACAGAUAAGGCUACAGCACAUCCCCACCAUCUCCAUACACUCGACCAAGGUAUUGUCCCAAGUAUCUGUACGUGCUUAAAACCUAAAAAGCUCACUUUAAGGGAAGGUCGCCUCACCAGGUGCGAAUGCACAGAUAAGGCUACAGCACAUCCCCACCAUCUCCAUACACUCGACCAAGGUUAAUACUACCUACAUUCAAGAUAUAUAACACCCUUACGUGUUCUCAGACAAAGCCAUAAACUGGGUUCAAACACACAGCAGUCAACCCCAUAGCUGUUAAAAAUUUUCCCUUAGCCUAAUAAAAAUUAAAGUUAUAGCAGUUAGAAGGUUGGUGCCUAAAAAUUAAAUCUAAAGCAUUACAAGGCUGUAGAUUACAAGGCUGUAGAUUUUGCCUGUAAAGGACUAUAUAAAGCAGAAUAAGGCUGUAUAGCCUGUUGAAUUUCCCAAAAAAAAAAAAAAUAAAUGUUUAAAGAAUAAAGUGCUAUCUACCUUCGUUGGGUGUGUAGCCCCGCUACGUAACUCCCCCUCCCCCAAGAACCACGAACAAGGUUACUUAUACCCCUGCAGUUUUUCCGCCUUUUUUAAUUACUGCUGUGUACCUGAACCUAGUUGGCCUCUGAAACCUAGGGUAUUGUCCCAAGUAUCUGUACGUGCUUAAAACCUAAAAAGCUCACUUUAAGGGAAGGUCGCCUCACCAGGUGCGAAUGCACAGAUAAGGCUACAGCACAUCCCCACCAUCUCCAUACACUCGACCAAGGUUAAUACUACCUACAUUCAAGAUAUAUAACACCCUUACGUGUUCUCAGACAAAGCCAUAAACUGGGUUCAAACACACAGCAGUCAACCCCAUAGCUGUUAAAAAUUUUCCCUUAGCCUAAUAAAAAUUAAAGUUAUAGCAGUUAGAAGGUUGGUGCCUAAAAAUUAAAUCUAAAGCAUU